rnacentral:misc_RNA from 1 species
AACAAGAACAAAUCCCUUAAUUCUGCUGUUAAUGUUGGUGGAGGAGUAUCCAUUGGCUGCAGCAGUAACUCAGUCCAGAAUAAUAACCCUUCAUCGUCGUCUUCUUCAUCAGGACCAUUAUCGUUAUCAUCGAGCUGUGUGGCGGUUCCUGACGUUUGGUGUGGUCCUGGAAUUGGAUUAACUACUGAUGCUGCUUCUGUUGAUUGCGUCGUUUCAAGAAGACCCGUGUCUGGGAGGGGAAGAAUCGAAAGUGACAAAGCUACGCCUAGAGAGAGAUCUGCAUGUCCUAUACGAAGAAUGGUGAGCCCAGAAGACAACCCUUUUCUGGAUAUAGAAAGUAGCCUAGGUAUACCACGCUCCCAAAUAGAGUUAUUUGCAUCUAGGCAUCAUCGACAUUCUCGCCAUGGUUAUUCAGAAGGACUUGCAGAG